rnacentral:misc_RNA from 1 species
GAUGAAGAACGUAGCGAAAUGCGAUAAGUAAUGUGAAUUGCAGAAUUCAGUGAAUCAUCGAGUCUUUGAACGCACAUUGCGCCCCCUGGUAUUCCGGGGGGCAUGCCUGUCCGAGCGUCAUUGCUGCCCUCAAGCACGGCUUGUGUGUUGGGCCCCCGUCCCCGGUUUUCCCCGGGGACGGGCCCGAAAGGCAGCGGCGGCACCGCGUCCGGUCCUCGAGCGUAUGGGGCUUUGUCACCCGCUCUGUAGGCCCGGCCGGCGCCAGCCGACACCCAACUUUAUUUCUAAGGUUGACCUCGGAUCAGGUAGGGAUACCCGCUGAACUUAAGCAUAUCAAUAAGCGGAGGA